AUGAUCACAGCUGGUCUCAUCAAACUCUCUGCAGCAGCUCUGCUCUGGACUGCAGGUCUAACUGAUGGGAGUGAUGUCACCCAGACUCCUCAGCUGUGGAGGGCCGAGGGUCAGUCUGCCAGAAUGAACUGCAGUCACACGAAGGAAAGCUCAUAUCGCCAGAUGUACUGGUUCAGACAGCUGCCAGGGGACACAAUGAAGCAAAUAGUUCUUACAACUGCAUACAGCCCUCAUGAGUACGAGAGUGGCUUCAGUAAGGACAAGUUUCCAGCAGCAAAGAGCGAUUCUCAGACUGGAUCUCUGACUGUGGAGAAUCUGCUGCCUGAGGACAGCGGAGUGUAUUUCUGUGCUGUGAGUCAACACAGUGAUACAGGAGACUGAGACAGCUGCACAAAAACCCACAGUGAAGACAGGACGGCUGUCUCUUUAAUGAUCUGCAGAGAGCACUGCACACUUAGAGUUACACUCAUCUUCAGACAAACAUUAUGAAAGUGUGACUCCUGAACUUGUAACCUUAUAACCUUAUCUAGUAUUUAGUUUAUAAGAUUUCGGCCUGUUUUGAUUUCUGACUAUUGCAUAAGCAACUCUUA